GGGAAUAUAUCUCAGUGGGUAGAGCACUCACCUUGCAUGUGUGAGGCACUAGGUUUAACUCCUAUUACUGCCA
rnacentral:tRNA from 1 species